GACGAACGCUGGCGGCGUGCUUAACACAUGCAAGUCGAACGAGAGCGUAGAGAAAGCUUGCUUUUUCUACAAUCUAGUGGCAAACGGGUGAGUAACGCGUAAACAACCUGCCCUACGGAUGGGGACAACAGCUGGAAACGGCUGCUAAUACCGAAUCCGUUCCGAAAGUCGCAUGACUAUCGGAAGAAAGGAUGGCCUCUAUUUAUAAGCUAUCGCCGGAGGAGGGGUUUGCGUCUGAUUAGCUAGUUGGAGGGGUAACGGCCCACCAAGGCGACGAUCAGGAGCCGGUCUGAGAGGAUGAACGGCCACAUUGGAACUGAGACACGGUCCAGACUCCUACGGGAGGCAGCAGGGGGGAAUCUUCCGCAAUGGGCGAAAGCCUGACGGAGCAACGCCGCGUGAGUGAAGACGGCCUUCGGGUUGUAAAGCUCUGUUAUACGGGACGAAUAAUCUUGUGGUUAAUACCCAUGAGAAGUGACGGUACCGUAAGAGAAAGCCACGGCUAACUACGUG
rnacentral:rRNA from 1 species